rnacentral:rRNA from 1 species
UACAGAGACUGCAAGCAUUAUUCGGAUUCACUGGGCGUAAAGGGUGCGCAGGCGGCCGGGUGUGUCAGAUGUGAAAUCCCGAGGCUCAACCUCGGAACUGCGUCUGAAACUACUCGGCUAGAGUACUGGAGAGGGUAACGGAAUUCACGGUGUAGCAGUGAAAUGCGUAGAGAUCGGAAAGAACACCAACGGCGAAAGCACUCUGCUGGGCCGACACUGACACUGAGAGACGAAAGCUAGGGGGAGCGAAUGGG